CGUUCCCGGGCCUUGUACACACCGCCCGUCACACCAUGAGAGUUUGUAACACCCAAAGUCGGUGGGGUAACCUUUUAGGAGCCAGCCGCCUAAGGUGGGACAGAUGAUUAGGGUGAAGUCGUAACAAGGUAGCCGUAGGAGAACCUGCGGCUGGAUCACCUCCUU
rnacentral:rRNA from 1 species